rnacentral:lncRNA from 10 species
GGUGGGUCCUGGGCGCCGCAGCGGGAUUGGCCUCUGGUCGGAGGGAGCUUGGGGUAGGGGAAGAUGUGAGUGGGUUUGUACAUGCACUGCUGUGAGAUGAGGGGGUUUGUAUUAGUCAGGGUUCUACAGAGAAACGGAGCCAAUAGGAUAAACGUGCAUAGGAAGAGAUUCGUAAGGAGAUAUUUCAUGCGAUUCUGGAGGCUGAGAAGUCCCACGAUCUGUUGUCUGCCAGCCGGACACCCAGGAAUGCUGGCAGUGCAAGUUCCAAGACCUGAGGGCAGGGAUCCAACAGUGUGGACUCCAGUCACAGCCUGAAGCCCUGAGAACCUGGAGUACCAAUGGCCGGAGAAAAUGCACGUCUCCCCUGGAUCAGGCAGAGAGAAUCCAAACUCCCUCCACCUUUUUGUCCUAUUCAGGCUUCCACAGAUUGGACGAGGCCCACCCACCUUGGGGAGGGGCCACCUGCUGUGUUCAGUCCACCAGUGCAAACGCUAAGCUCUUCCAGAAACACCCUCACAGACACCCGGGAAGUCACGUACCCACUCUCCGGGUGCCCUGGGGCACAGGCAAGCUGACAAGCCGGUUACCCCUCAGAGCUCCUGCUGCCUCGCCUGCUUUCUCUCGGAAACGUGAAGUGUGGCCUCAGCUGAAAGUGAGAGUCACUGUCUCAGCAUGUUGA